rnacentral:rRNA from 1 species
CAGUAGCCGCGGUAAUACGAAGGGUGCAAGCGUUACUCGGAAUUACUGGGCGUAAAGCGUGUGUAGGUGGUUGUUUAAGUCUGUCGUGAAAGCCCUGGGCUCAACCUGGGAAUUGCGAUGGAUACUGGGCGACUAGAGUGCGGUAGAGGAUAGUGGAAUUUCCGGUGUAGCAGUGAAGUGCGUAGAGAUCGGAAGGAACAUCUGUGGCGAAGGCGACUAUCUGGGCCAACACUGACACUGAGACACGAAAGCGUGGGGAGCAAACAGGAUUAGAGACCCCGGUAGUCCCUGUCUCUUAUAC